rnacentral:rRNA from 1 species
AGUGAACGCUGGCGGUAGGCCUAACACAUGCAAGUCGAACGGCAGCACAGUAAGAGCUUGCUCUUACGGGUGGCGAGUGGCGGACGGGUGAGGAAUACAUCGGAAUCUACUUUUUCGUGGGGGAUAACGUAGGUAAACUUACGCUAAUACCGCAUACGACCUACGGUUGAAAGCAGGGGAUCUUCGGACCUUGCGCGAUUGAAUGAGCCGAUGUCGGAUUAGCUAGUUGGCGGGGUAAAGGCCCACCAAGGCGCCGAUCCGUAGCUGGUCUGAGAGGAUGAUCAGCCACACUGGAACUGAGACACGGUCCAGACUCCUACGGGAGGCAGCAGUGGGGAAUAUUGGACGAUGGGCGCAAGCCUGAUCCAGCCAUACCGCGUGGGUGAAGAAGGCCUUCGGGUUGUAAAGCCCUUUUGUUGGGAAAGAAAAGCAGCAGGUUAAUACCCCGCUGUUCUGACGGUACCCAAAGAAUAAGCACCGGCUAACUUCGUG